AGUAUGAUAAUCUGUGGUUAGUUCUAUACAGCUCAUCAUAGGCAGGACCAUGCCAGUUGUUGGCCCUCUGAGGGAAUUCAGUUAGCUUUGUCUCUUGUGUUAAAAUUACAGACAGGACAACAUGGCCAGUGGUUAUACAGAGGAUUUUUUCUACAGCAGUACCCCAGAGAGAAAUUUAGAGCUACCCCCACCUUAUGGGGAUUUUAUCUUCCGUCCUCCAACGAGACGGCCAGUUGUAAAAAGUUCCAAAAGCUUCAAGGACAAGAAAACGAAAAAUAAAGGGAAAGUUCCACCUUCCAGAAUGUACGCCACUGUUCGUGAUCCGCGGAUGGCACCGGGGCAUCCCUUGAUUCAUCCAGAUUUCAUAACACCCCAGCAAUUCAUUCCAAAGAUUGUCCCUCCUGAACCCAAGCCAGUCAAACCAGCCAGGUCCAAAAGCUUUAACAACAGCAAGAAAGCAGCGGAGCAGAAGAGUAAGCUACAGGACCCGCCUCCAUUUAUGACAUACAGGUGUCAGAGCUACCCCCCUCCUGAUGAUAAAAUGGGGGACCAGCCAGUCCAUGUGUUUGCUGUACCUCAUCAAGUUUCAAACCAUACAAAGCAAAGACUAGGCCUUCAUGACAAGUUGUUUCACCCUCCAUCCAGAAACCCUGUGAGUCCUUCCUCGCCCCCAUAUUAUGGAACCAGCCAAGAGUUUUUUCUGCUGAGUGAUGAGCCUCCAGUGAAGGAUAGUUAUGGUAGUGGCAUGUAUGUGCCUUCAAAUGAAUUGGAGAACAGUUUAACUUUGAAGGAAAUCAAUCAUACAAAAAAUGAAAUUCUUUCAAGCCAAAAACCUCAGAAAAAGAAAAGCAUGGUCAAGCAGAUUCUGACCAGUCUGUUUUCAUCAAAGAAAUCUGGUGAGCAGGGUCAUGCAAAAAAUGAAAGGAAGAUUAAGAAUGAAGCAACAAAAACUGCUAGACCUGUCACUAAAUCUGAAUCCAUUGAAGAAAACACAGAAAAGGAGAAUGGUGAGGAAAACAAUGGACCACAGGAAACACCAAGGUCUGAGGAUCCACCACAGGCCACUGAAAACAGCAGUAGAAUCGGUCGACCCAGUGCCAAGGUCCUGGGACAGAAUGACAAACAGGACCAAAUCAUUCAAGAGCUUAAAAAGAAAAACAGCAAUGCCACAAGGGAUGACUUGGAUGUUGAAGAGAAUCCAGACCAAUGUUAUCAGUCAAAAGAAGGGAAUACAGGCAGGAAAACGAAGGUGGGUGGAGGUGAGUUUUCUAGGAAAUCGACAAUUUAGACACCAGUUUAACAUUGCAAGAAAGAGAAAAGCAGAAUCGAAUGAUUAAAUCACAGUCUGUUCCUAGUGAUCUGUCCAAACACAAGAGUGGGAAAUCAGCCAGAAACUGAGGGGAACAUGGACUAUUUAUAGGAGAUACCAGAGAUAUUCAACACUCUGUCUGGUACUUGAUACCAAUUGAGGAAGACAGGAAAGGGACACAACUCAUGGUUCACAGCUUGAUGGGGGCUCUGUUCUCUCUAACUGGAUCAGCAGAGGGGGAUUUUAUGUUGACAAGUUGAUAUCUUGAUGAAUAUUUCAUGAAGGUCUCAAAUGUCUUUAUCAUCUGGAAUUUGAUAUUAUUUAUACCUUUAAUCAGGUCUUGCCCAGCUCUGAAUCACGGGGAAUCAAUAUUGUGCAUACCAAAGGAACUCCAUUAACAUUUCGGAGUUAUUUUGAAGACAUUUCAUCAAACUUGGAAAAUAUCUCCUGGGGAAAUUUCUUGGAUAAAUCAGCAUCAGUGGACAAACUGAUUGAAAAUUUGAUCAGACAGAAAUAAUAAGACUGAUAGAAUGGCUAAAGAAGAAAAGGACAAACCAGCUCUUAAUUUCACCAUCUAGACAGUUCUGAUUUAUAUGCAUACACUAAUUACAGAGCUUACUGGUUAUUGUAGCACAGUUUAUAAGAGUUUUGAUGUAUUACUACUCUCUAUCUCACAAAACAGAGAUCCUCUGUUCCCUCCUGUGUACUUUAGCUCAGUGAGAUUACUCAGUGGAAAUGGAAGACAGAAGUUGAUUACACUGUAAUGAAGUGAGGGGACCUCUCCGUUUGAAUCUCAAGAGUCGUUUAUUUUUUGUAGAGAUAAUCUUGAUCACCGAGCUGCCUUCUGUUAACAAUGUUAAUCUUAUGGUUUGCUCUGGAUACAGAAUUUGUACUUGAUAGAUAAAGUGAUUUCCCCAAGGAAUUAAACGAACCUCACAAAGGGAGAGGGAUAGUUUGUAAAUAUAAAUAGACAGCUGAUGAGACAGGGAAAAAUGAGGUGGAAUCGGUGUCCAAAAAUCUUAAUAUGUAAUAUUUCAGGUUUCUUAUAGCUGUCUUCAGAGAAUAUGUGUUGCUUUGAAUAUCCAAAUAUUUAUUGAUAUGUUAUUGAUUAAUUAAAAUUAAGAAAUUAUGAAGAUAAAUUAAAUUGUCCUUUUAGCUUCAGAAAGUAUGUCAAGAUAAAUGUAAAGUGGCCUUGACUUGCAUUCUGUAUAAUGUUAAAAGUUGGGUAGAAAUUGAUCGUAAAUAUGCUAUGUUAAUUGGGCAAAAUGUUGUGGUGAUAAUGAGCAGUGUUGACUAUCAUGGUAAAGCAAAAGAGCAAGUUGAAGCAACAAGGCUUUUGAAGUUGUUAGAUAAUGAUGACUGCCUUCCUUUAUCUGCUCAAUGCAAUGUGUUAAUGAUGACUAAGUUUUAUGUUUUUUUAUCUUUUCUAUAUGCAUAUUUUUUUGUACAGCAUAUCUGUCUGAUUCUAUCCAAUGCUUGACUCACAAUAAACAUAUCUGUAUGCCAUG
rnacentral:misc_RNA from 1 species